rnacentral:sRNA from 1 species
GCUGGAUGUGGUGGUGCACGCCUGUAAUCCCAGCGGCUCAGGAGGCUGAGGCAGGAGGAUCGUGAGUUCAAAACCAGCCUCAGCAACAGUGAGGCCCUAAGCAACUCAGUGAGACCCUGUCUCUA